GUGCAGGCCUCCUGACCACAGGUCCUGGGCCAUCUCUUCCUGCUCAUGUGGGAGGAAACCCUGAGUUCGGGUGAGGCUGUUCCCCAAACAAGGCCGCCUUGUGUAGCUCUCUGAGGGCCUUUUAUAAUCUUCUUCCCUCCCCCAGGACAGCCCAGCUGCAGCCCCUCCUCACCAGCGACCCCGGGCCCUUCGCCUCGGGGCCAGUCAAGCAGGGAGCAGACAGCAGUGUGUGAGGAGGAGAAAAGAGCCGGACUACAGGGAUGCCAGCCGCCUGCCAGCCCCUCCCCUGCAGCCUCUCCUCCCAGACACGGAUGUCCCUGAGCUGCCCAGUGCAGGGAGCAGGGCCAGGGGAACCAGACACCGUCAUGACCCAGAAGGGCUGCACUUCUCCGGGGUUUGCAGAAUGUGGCAGGGGUGGAAAAACUCAAAAGUCCUUAAACACAGGUAAGCAGACAGCACAGCGGUGGU
rnacentral:lncRNA from 1 species